rnacentral:rRNA from 1 species
UACGUAGGGUGCGAGCGUUGUCCGGAAUUAUUGGGCGUAAAGAGCUUGUAGGCGGUUUGUCGCGUCUGCUGUGAAAAAUCCGGGGCUCAACCCCGGACUUGCAGUGGGUACGGGGCAGACUAGAGUGUGGGUAGGGGGAGACUGGAAUUCCUGGUGUAGCGGUGAAAUGCGCAGAUAUCAGGAGGAACACCGAUGGCGAAGGCAGGUCUCUGGGCCAACUACUG